rnacentral:rRNA from 1 species
AAGUCCCGUAACGAGCGCAACCCUUGUCCUUAGUUACCAGCACGUUAUGGUGGGCACUCUAAGGAGACUGCCGGUGACAACCGGAGGAAGGUGGGGAUGACGUCAAGUCAUCAUGGCCCUUACGGCCUGGGCUACACACGUGCUACAAUGGUCGGUACAAAGGGUUGCCAAGCCGCGAGGUGGAGCUAAUCCCAUAAAACCGAUCGUAGUCCGGAUCGCAGUCUGCAACUCGACUGCGUGAAGUCGGAAUCGCUAGUAAUCGUGAAUCAGAAUGUCACGGUGAAUACGUUCCCGGGCCUU